rnacentral:rRNA from 1 species
UACGAAGGGGGCUAGCGUUGUUCGGAAUCACUGGGCGUAAAGAGCGUGUAGGCGGCCGUACAGGUCAGCUGUGAAAACUCGAGGCUCAACCUCGAGACGUCGGUUGAAACCGUACGGCUAGAGUCCGGAAGAGGAGAGUGGAAUUCCCGGUGUAGCGGUGAAAUGCGCAGAUAUCGGGAAGAACACCCGUGGCGAAGGCGGCUCUCUGGGACGGUACUGACGCUGAGACGCGAAAGCGUGGGGAGCGAACAGG